CCUACGGGAGGCAGCAGUGAGGAAUAUUGGGCAAUGCCCGCAAGGGUGACCCAGCAACGCCGCGUGGAGGAUGAAGGCCGUAAGGUUGUAAACUCCUUUUGAAGGGGACGAAAAACACCGGUAGAACCGGUGAUUGACUGUACCCUUAGAAAAAGCCCCGGCUAACUACGUGCCAGCAGCCGCGGUAAUACGUAGGGGGCGAGCGUUGUCCGGAUUCACUGGGUGUAAAGGGCGCGUAGGCGGGUUUGUAAGUCAGGGGUAAAAUCUCAGGGCUUAACCGUGAAACUGCCUCUGAUACUGCAAAUCUUGAGUUCGGAAGAGAGAAGCGGAAUUCCAGGUGUAGUGGUAAAAUACGUAGAUAUCGGGAGGAACACCAGUGGCGAAGGCGGCUACUUGGUCCGUAACUGACGCUGAGGCGCGAAAGCGUGGGGAGCAAACAGGAUUAGAUCCCCUUGUAGU
rnacentral:rRNA from 1 species